rnacentral:misc_RNA from 1 species
GAUGAAGAACGCAGCGAAAUGCGAUAAGUAAUGUGAAUUGCAGAAUUCAGUGAAUCAUCGAAUCUUUGAACGCACAUUGCGCCCGCCAGUAUUCUGGCGGGCAUGCCUGUUCGAGCGCCAUUUCAACCAUCAAGCCCCAGGCUUGUGUUGGGGGCCUGCAGCUGCUGCAGCCCCCUAAAAGCAGUGGCGGACUCGCUGUCAUACCGAGCGCAGUAGUUACAUCUCGCUCUGGGCAUGGCGGCGGGCACCUGCCGUAAAACACUCUUUCUAAGGUUGACCUCGGAUCAGGUAGGAAUACCCGCUGAACUUAAGCAUAUCAAUAAGCGGAGGA